rnacentral:lncRNA from 1 species
AUUUUAAAUCUCGAUUCUCGGGAUGCGAGCCAUUGGUCGGAACACUAUCUACGACCUUUCAGAAAAUCUGAAAAAACUCAGAACACAGAUCAAACACUCGAACCUUGCAAUUUGCAAAGGUCGAGUGUGUUACAUUGUUAGGGCUGGCGAGGGCGCUAGGGCCUAAACGGGGGAGUCUGUGACACCCUAAUAGUUCCACAUCGGAUGGGAAUGGGGUUGUCAUUGGGUUUAUAAGAAGACUCCGUCCUAGUAAUAAUAACUGGGCUUAAGCAUUUUGGGACGGUGGUUGGGCCCAAAGAGUUAUUGUUGCUAGCGGGCUGGGUCGUUAUACACACUAUAUACCUAGCGACCCCACAUAUAGCAACACUUUUUAAAAGUGUCGGUAAUUUAGCUACCAGCAUUUUUUUGGACCUGUACCAAUAUUUAAAAGUGUCGCUAUAUACCGUUUUUAUUAAAGUGGCACUCUACUUUCUCAAAUCCUGUAGCACCCUCAUCAUUGUCGUUGUCCACGGCCACGCCCUUCGUCACAACCUCAUCUGUGCUACAUUCGAGCUUGCGUUGUCGCCGCCUAAGUCGAUAGAGGUGUAGAUGAGGUAGAAUACAAAAGCGUGGGGUCGAUGUAGGGGUAGUGGAGGAAGAGAGGGAGGAAGUGGGAGGAAAAAGACAGGAAGGGACGACGAGAAGGAGGGAGACGAAGAGGGAGGAGAAAAACUAACGAGAAAGAGAAGGGAGAGAAAGAGAAAUAAGAAUAUUUUGACUAAUUUACUAAAAAUUCAAAUCUAUUCUGUAAAAUAUAAAAAAUAAUUUAUUUUUAUAAAAAUAUAAAAUUGAUGAAUUUUUUUUAUGCAAAUUGGUCUUUCCUCUUUUUAUUAUACCAACACUUAUUUUCUAAUACAUAAU